rnacentral:rRNA from 1 species
UCCGUAGGUGAACCUGCGGAGGGAUCAUUACAGAGUUGCAAAACUCCCUAAACCAUUGUGAACGUUACCUAUACCGUUGCUUCGGCGGGCGGCCCCGGGGUUUACCCCCCGGGCGCCCCUGGGCCCCACCGCGGGCGCCCGCCGGAGGUCACCAAACUCUUGAUAAUUUAUGGCCUCUCUGAGUCUUCUGUACUGAAUAAGUCAAAACUUUCAACAACGGAUCUCUUGGUUCUGGCAUCGAUGAAGAACGCAGCGAAAUGCGAUAAGUAAUGUGAAUUGCAGAAUUCAGUGAAUCAUCGAAUCUUUGAACGCACAUUGCGCCCGCCAGCAUUCUGGCGGGCAUGCCUGUUCGAGCGUCAUUUCAACCAUCAAGCCCCCGGGCUUGUGUUGGGGACCUGCGGCUGCCGCAGGCCCUGAAAAGCAGUGGCGGGCUCGCUGUCGCACCGUGCGUAGUAGCAUACAUCUCGCUCUGGUCGCGCCGCGGGUUCCGGCCGUUAAACCACCUUUUAACCCAAGGUUGACCUCGGAUCAGGUAGGAAGACCCGCUGAACUUAAGCAUAUCAAUAAGCGGAGGA